rnacentral:rRNA from 1 species
UACAGAGGUCUCAAGCGUUGUUCGGAUUCAUUGGGCGUAAAGGGUGCGUAGGUGGCGCGCUAAGUCGGGUGUGAAAUUUCGGAGCUUAACUCCGAAACUGCAUUCGAUACUGGCGUGCUUGAGGACUGGAGAGGAGACUGGAAUUCAUGGUGUAGCAGUGAAAUGCGUAGAUAUCGGGAGGAACACCUGUGGCGAAAGCGGCGCACUGGACCACAACUGACGCUGAGGCGCGAAAGCCAGGGGAGCAAACGGG